CCUGAGUGAGCCAGCUCAGUACUGCUUUAUCUCACCCUGCCGGGGUUGCUGCCGCUUCCCAUCCGCCCCAGGCCAGGAUGGGUGUCCCCAGCACACUCGCCAGGCUUGGCCACAGGUUUUGCUCCACUACUGGAAUGCUCUUUCAUAGCCUGUGGUCUCCCUGUGUCCUGCUGGAUAAGGGGGGACAGCCUUGGCACAUUGGUGGCAGAUUUCCAAGGAGACCCAACCCACUGGGGAAAGUUUUUCCAGAGGGGACACGACCUUCCAGGACUCCUGGAGACCUGUCUUUUCCCAGGACACCACAUCCCAUGGCUGGCUGAAGGGUGCUCCUUCCCCAAGGUCUGCAAUGGCUUUCAAGUGGAAAAACUCUGCAAAAUAAGCGUCUGUUGGCUUUGGAAGUCCCUCUCUCCAAUACUCUUACCAGAUGGCCGGCGGCUCGCAGGGAUGUGGCUGCUCUGAGUUUGCAACCCUUUAGCUCCCGUGGAGACCUGGCUGCUCUGUCAGGAAACAGCAAGUUCUGCCUGAGAUCGGGGCUGGGGCCUCUGUGGCUUUUUGGGGUGCAGGAGGAGAGUGUGGGAACCCCACACAGCACACCUGGCAGGGCACAGCCUGUCCAGGAGAUACCCAUGCAGCUUUUCCAUGUGGCCUGGAAGAGCAUCCUGCCCAAAAGGAUGCUGCCAAGGCACUGCAGAAGGAGCAAUGGGUGCUGAGAGUCCUCAUGGUCCUGGUGUGACCAAUAAUGGAUCUGUUCACACAGUGUCUGCAAGUAGGAAAGACAGGCUUAUUUCUGUACCUCCCAGGAGACAGGCUGAAGCUAUUAUAAAGUUAUUAAGCUAUUAUUAUACACAGGUAUUAAGGCUGAAUGAAGAAGUCAAGUGAUAGGAGGGCAUACAAAAGAGAAACCUCAGAGGUGUGCAGCAGAAUCAGGGAGAGAGCUGGGGAGGCAUUUGUGGUGGGAAGGGGCUGGUGCAUCUGUGGGAUCAGAGGAGAUAAACCGUAAGUCACCUCUGAGCUCUUGACAAGGUGUGUGAACCAUUAUCUUCUGCCAUAUGGCUGAUUUGUGAGGAUUCCUGCAGGGAGCUGAGCCAAAGGGCCCUUGUGCUGAGGACAUCCUAGUCCAGAUCACUAAAUGCUGUUGUGCUCUGCAGCAUGAGCAGGGACCAGCCAAGCUCCAAAACCAAGGGGAAAGCCCACCUGGGACUGCAUUUGUUAUGGGCCUCUGCAAGGAUUGUGUCAUGGUGUGCAAAGCUUGUGCUUUUGGUGUGAGCAAGCAUACAAAGCCUGUAAGGCCUGAAUUCAAGCCAACUGGAGGAGGGAAGCUCAGUGAGAAAGGAGGGUGCCUCAAAACCCAGCGUGGGUAGUGUCCUGGAUCCACUCAGAGCUUAGCAGCUCUAAACACAGUGGGAUACAGCAGCUGGAUCUUUUUCCAGCAAUGUGAGCAUCCACCACAGGGAGCUGAGCCAGGGCUGUGACAAACAAGUGCAAAAUGUUAGUCAGAAAGGACAAACGGAAUGUGAAAAACCACCAGAAACUCCCAAAGUGGGUCAAAUUCCUUGAUGCAUCUAACAAUAGAUGUAGGGCGGGAAGGACAGGGUGGAUUCAGUUGCGUGCCCUCCUGUGCCUCCCAAAAUUCGGGCUGCACUAUGGGCCUGAGUCUGUGGUGGUGAAAUUCAAAGCAGGUGGCUGAAAUUGUGGAAGCUCUGCCUCCUCCACCCGGGCCUGCCUGGCAUAAUAUUAUCUUCACGCCUGAGCGGGGAGGACUUGGCUUAUUAAACUUGCAAACCUGCCUUGUGCUCACCCUCGGGUAUCCAGGACUGCCAGGUCUCUGGGGCAGGAUGCUCUAAUGCUCCUUUUACGCCACGUCUACCGCAACGAGGCCUCCUUAAUUGGCUUGUGGUUCCCACCAGCACUGCCAGCACGGAGCCAGCCAUGCAGGAAAAGCUGCCAGCCACAGCUCCCGCUCGCUGUUGGUGCAUCAUUAGCUCACAUGUUGUCUCUCUCCCCAAAGACAAACACACUGGGUAGCCAAAGAGGUCUGUGGGGAGGAUGCACGGCAAGAUCCAAGCACAAGAAGAGGGGGAGCACAGGUAGUUCUCGUUCCUAUGCCCCAUUUGGUUUCUCCACUCUGCCAAAUCUCAGGUUUUCAGUAGCACGGGGGAAACUUGCAGUGAAACAUCCUUUUCUUUCCCUCUCUUUUUUUAAAAGGACAUCCUCCCCCUUCCUUGCUUUAAUCACUUUAAAACAACCCUAGAGGAGCAAGACUUGGGUAAAUAAAUGUGGGAACCAGGGGAGUUCUUGAACUGUUAAAGAAAUCAAUAUAAAUCAGAGUAACCUUGCCCUGAUGUCUUCCUUAUCACCUCUGAAGCUCUACCUGCCUUUGUCUAACAACAAUCUCAGUUAAUUAGAUAAUUAAUCUAAUUAUCUAAUUAGGUGGAAUCACUAAUAGCUAUUCCACCUAAUUAGGCCAGUGGCUGUAUCUCAGCAGUGGUGGUUCUCUCUUUCUGGCUAACCCUCCACCUUCUGCCAUGCCUUGAAACCAGGCUCUGACACAAUUCACAGCUCUUUGUUUGCUUUAACCAAAACCACCUGGAAGCAGUUUUACAUUUUUUUACUCAGGCUUUCCUUGAAUGAAAGCAAGGUGGCCAGUUGGAAAGUAGAAAAGGAAGCUCUCAGAAGAUUAAUUUUUUUAGCAAUGAAUGCAGGAAGCUCUUCAUUGUUUUAAUCCAUUCUCCUGAUGUAAGAUUAAUUUUAGCCCUGAACACAACAACCUGUUAUGAAUUGAUCCUAGGGAAGUAUAUUGCUCUGAGGCUGGGGAAACAACAUAAGUAGCUUUUCCCUCCCUUUAUUUGGACAAGUUGAGCUAACUCAUGGCUGCAGUCCUAACUCCAGUCUCUUCCCUGCGGAAAUGUGGGUUGUGCUCCCGCUGCAGCUUUCCCAAUCCGUCCUCUGCGUGACAGCACGAGGGAGCUGGCAGGAAUUAAAAGCAGCCCAAGGCCAUUGGUCCCCUGGCAGCAGAGUCCCACUGCUCCUCUCUGCAGGGAUGCUGUGCUUGGCAGCACCACCGUGCUCGCUUUGGAUCACCUCUGCUCCUCCACGAGCUGUAGGUGCCCUCAGGGCUGCAAAGCUGCCAUAAGGCACUCGUGGGGAAUUUUCCCUUUAAUGCCUAAAUUGGAUUUAAGGGUGUUUUGGUGCAUUCCAAAUGAAUCAAUGUCUGUCUGCAAAACAGCCAGACUUGGCCCUGAGAAGAGAUGGAUGUGCUCAUCCCUCACACCCAGAGCUCUGCUUCCCUGGGAUCCCACCUUAUGCACCAGGAAAAGCCAUUCAACAUCUGAGAGGUCAGGAACUGAGACUCUUCCAGCCCCAGGGAUGUUUAAUGGCUCACUUCAUCCCUACCUGUUACAGGAGAGCACUGCUGGAUCCCCUCUGACACCCACAGCCUUAGUACAACUUGGAGCACCACUCUGUUGGGCUCAGUCACAGAGACCAUGGGAACCCUGGCUGGAGUCUGGAUGAGGUAAAAGGGUCAGGUAGGUUCUGCAAGAGCAUCUCUGCAGUGAACCCCUUCUCUGACCUGGAAAUG